rnacentral:rRNA from 1 species
UAACCUACGGGACGCAGCAGUGGGGGAUAUUGCACAAUGGGCGCAAGCCUGAUGCAGCGACGCCGCGUGAGCGAAGAAGUAUUUCGGUAUGUAAAGCUCUAUCAGCAGGGAAGAAAAAAAGUCUUUGGCUUUGGACGGUACCUGACUAAGAAGCCCCGGCUAACUACGUGCCAGCAGCCGCGGUAAUACGUAGGGGGCAAGCGUUAUCCGGAUUUACUGGGUGUAAAGGGAGCGUAGACGGCAGCGCAAGUCUGGAGUGAAAUGCCGGGGCUCAACCCCGGAACUGCUUUGGAAACUGUGCAGCU